CGUCAGACCCGUCAGUAUUACUCGUGGCGUAGAAGUGACUGUGUACAAUUUCAAUCGCUCUCCAGUUUUGUGUUACUUUCCCUUAGGACGUUAAUUUGAGCAACGCGCGACGAAUUUUAAUAUAAGGGUUGCAUGGAGUGACGAUGCAAGACUAUGAGUGGAACUUCUGGCGGCGCCGGUGGAUACGGUGAUGGCAACGCCUACGCUUACGCCCACGGCGGUCAGGCCGGCGGGGCCUCGACCGUGGGCGGGGAUGCCGCUGCCGCCGCUGGCGGGCGGCGUAGCCAUGCCCGCAGCGCCUCGCACUGCGGCAUCAUGAUCAACAGAGAUCCGCCCAUCCUCGAUCAAGGCAUGAGCGGCACCAUGCCGGUGGGCGUGGGCGGAGGGAUGGGCGGUGGCAUGGGCAUGACGGCUGGUGGGGGCGGUGCCGCUGGGGGGCGGCUGGGCAAGAGCCACCAGAGGACCUUCUCCCACGGGCAGCUGGUGGAGGGGGGGAGGGGCCACAGGAGAUACGGCUCCAAGACGGACUUCAUCCUCCCGGCGGGGCACCAGGAGAGGGAGCAGAAGAAGACGCCCUUGAGGUCUUCCACCUUCCCCAAGGGCCACUCCCGCCAGGCCUCCAGGUCAGAGUCCCUCUACACCAUCCGGCAACAGCGCAGGACCCUCCUGCAGAAGAUCAUGUUCUGGAAAAAGGUCCCCGAGGAAUCCCGAACGCGCGUCCUGGUGCCCAACCACGUGGUGCCGCCCCACGUACCCCGGAGCGAGCACCCGAACGGGGCCUACCCGGACAACCGAAUCUGUACCACCAAGUACACGCUGCUCACUUUCAUUCCCAAGAAUCUCUUCGAGCAGUUUCAUAGAUUCGCCAACCUGUACUUCCUCUUCAUCGUUCUGCUGAACUUCGUGCCCGCCGUCAACGCCUUCGGGAAGGAGGUGGCGAUGCUGCCCCUCAUCUUCGUCCUGGGCAUCACUGCUAUCAAGGACGCCUUCGAGGACAGGCGCCGCUACCGCUCCGACAAUCGCGUCAACAACGCCACCUGCAGAGUCUACAGCAGAGACCAUGGCCGGUACGUCAAAACCAAGUGGAAGCACGUGCAAGUCGGGGACAUCGUGCACCUGUCGUGCAACGAGAUCAUUCCAGCAGACAUUGUGGUCCUUAACUCCUCUGACGAUUAUGGAACCUGCUACAUUGAGUCUUCCAACUUGGACGGAGAAAGUAACUUGAAGCAGCGGCAGUGUAUCAAAGGGCUUGGCAUGGAUGAUAGGUUCGAAGUAUCUAAAUUUGACUUUCGAAUGGAGGUGGGUGCACCCACCACCAAGAUAUACCACUUCACGGGCACCAUUCCCUUGCCUUCAGGAGAAAGGGUGCCCCUCACCAAAGACAACUUGUUGCUCAGGGACUGUGCUCUUAGAAACACAGAUUUCAUAGAAGGCGUCGUGGUUUAUGCCGGACGUGAAACAAAAGCCAUGUUGAACAACGGGGGCACAAGAUACAAGCGCUCCAAAUUAGAGAGGCGGAUGAACAUAGAAGUCAUCUGGUGUGUCGUCAUUCUCUUUAUUAUGUGCCUCAUAUCAGCCAUAGGAUCUGGUGUCUGGCAGAGUUAUUAUGAGGAGAGUGCAACAGCUGGAAAAGUGCCAUUUAUUCCUCCAGAAAACUUAGAUCCAUCUGUCAAAUCAACAAACCUCUCCAAUAACCCCAUCUGGGUUGGGUUCAUCAGUUUUUGGACCUUCAUUAUUGUAUACCAGGUCAUCAUUCCCAUAUCUCUGUAUGUGACUAUCGAGAUAAUCAAGCUCAUGCAGAUAUACCACAUACACAAUGACAAAGCAUUUAAAGAUAAGAAAAGUGGUAAAACUAUAGAGUGUCGAGCACUAAAUAUUCCAGAAGAACUUGGCCAGGUGGAGUAUGUCUUCACUGACAAAACGGGAACAUUAACUGAAAAUAACAUGGUCUUCCAGCGAUGCUCAAUAAAUGGUACUGAUUAUGGCCAUACACCUGUGAUCAUCAAUAAAACUGCGGAAAGCAAUGAGCGAGACACUUUUACCCUUAACAAUCAGCUUCAGCAGGAACUAACAUCCAUUGAGCUUCCGAUAAUUUACACUCAGCCUGGCAGUAGACAGAACACUGCCACACCACCUUUGAAGGAGUCUUUGCAGAGAGUGCUUGAUUUCUUCAUCACACUUGCAGUUUGCAACACUGUGAUUGUUGCAAAGUAUCCACAUAGAGAUGAGAUGAAUGCCAGUGGUACUAUAGUGCCAAAUGAAAGUGCCAAUAGUUGUGAUGUUAGUGAAGCUGAUAAUGCAAGUUUUGACACUACAAACACUAACUUGGAUUCUAGUUUUAGUACCUCAACCAGCACUUUGAAUUCAAACUCUUGGAGAUCGAGCCGUUUAUUACGAGGAAUCAUGUCCCUGUCAAGACCACUUUCACCUAUUGCAUCUUCACCUCGAAGCACUCCUCCUCAUACUCCAGAAUCAUCCCCACGCCAUCCACCUUUGAAUCAUUUGACUCCUAAUCAUCACCUGCCAUCGCCAGCUGUCAGCGUCAUGCUGAAUCCUAUUGAUCCGUCAAGUAAUGGUGGAAAAAUGAGUGACAACAUGGGAAUAGUCUACUCUGUACCAAAUUCGGGUCCAGCAAGGCCAUCUCUCCUAAAUAUUCAGGCAGCUCAAGUGUACACUGCCAAUCUUUCGAGGGAUGCACGUUCCUUGACACCUUCGCCAAUGGAUAUCAAGCCAAUCUACGAAGCUGAAAGUCCAGACGAACUUGCUCUGGUUGAUGCAGCUUACAAGUAUGGAUGUCGCUUGCUCAAGAGAUCCCUGCACAAUGUCCUGAUAUCAUUGCCUGGGUAUGGAUUGUGCGAGUUUGAAGUGCUACACGUUCUGCCGUUUGAUUCUAAUAGAAAAAGGAUGUCUAUUAUAGUGCGUCAUCCUGAGACACAAGAGAAGAUUUUGUAUUGUAAAGGUGCUGAUAAUGCUAUUUUAGAUAAUUUAAGUAGAGCCAUAGAUGACAAAACGAAGUUGAGAAUAUUUCGCACGCAGCAGCAACUCAAUAGUUAUUCCAAAAAGGGUUUGCGGGUGUUGUGUAUGGCCAAGCGUGUUCUGUCUGAUACAGAGUACGAGGACUGGGCCAUGAAGCAUAAAGAGGCAGAAAAUGCCCUCUCUAGUCGUGAACAUAAACUUCAAGACUCUUAUCUUAGGAUUGAGAGAAACUUUGAGUUGAUAGGUGCCACUGGUAUAGAAGACAGAUUGCAAGAAGGAGUUCCUGAAACAAUCCAAGCAAUGCGAGAGGCUGGUAUUGUUGUGUGGGUUCUAACAGGAGAUAAGCAAGAAACUGCCGUCAAUAUUGCAUAUUCUUGCUCGCUAUUUGCUUCAAGUAUGGAGAUUCUUAAACUAAACGCACGCACAAAAGAUCAAACUGACAGAAUGAUAAAAUUUUUCUUGCAACAAAUCGAGCAAGAAGAAGCAUUACAGGCACAAGCAACAAGCAAUGGUGGUGCACGGAUGUCUGGUACUUCGAGAGGUGAAAGCGUUGAGUUCUCAAAUGUUCAAGGGAAUUCUCUCAGGAUCUCAAACUCCCAAAAAAAUAGGGGACUUGUGGUAGAUGGGAGAACACUUGUGUUUGUUCUUGAUCAUCGAGCCAAUUUGAAGAAGCCAUUCCUGCUGCUUGCACAGAAAUGUAGCUCUGUGCUUUGUUGCCGAGCUACGCCUCUCCAGAAAUCUCUGAUAGUUCGUAGUGCUAAGGAUAACCUCAAAGUUCUUACACUUGCUGUAGGCGACGGUGCUAAUGAUGUGUCCAUGAUUCAGACAGCUGAUGUAGGUAUUGGCAUCUCUGGUUUAGAAGGGAGACAAGCUGUGAUGGCGUCAGACUUUGCCAUCGCCCGUUUCCACCACCUUGAGAAACUUCUGUUAGUUCAUGGCCAUUGGUGCUAUGAUAGGUUGGCACGUAUCAUUCUUUACUUCUUCUACAAAAAUGCUUCUUUUGUAUUUGUUCUGCUUUGCUACCAGCUAUAUUCAGGCUACAGUGGCAGUAGCAUGAUUGAUCAGAUGUACCUGAUGGUAUUUAACCUGCUCUUUACAUCAGUCCCUCCUAUAAUAGUUGGUAUUUAUGAUAGAGAUGUCCCCCGUGAACUACUUUUAUCACAGCCACAGUUGUAUGCUCAAGGCCAAGAAUCACGACUUUACAAACCUCAUUCCUUUUGGAUAAACAUUUUGGAUGCUUUGUACCAAGCUGUUAUAAUCUUUUUCUUUGGGGCUGUGCUUCAUGAAGAUUCAGAUGCCGGGAUGUAUGAAUUUGGCAUGACAAUUACCCACUCAGUAUUAAUUGCACAACUGCUUCAUAUUGGCAUAGAAACAAAAUCUUGGACUGUGAUUCAUGUGGGUGGAUUGGUACUCUCCCUUCUAGCGUUCUAUGUCUUUGGCAUAAUUUACACCAUGCUUUUCCCUGGUGGGUUUGGCUCCCCUAGUCAGUUUGGGGAACUAGAGCAUGCCAUGACUUCUCCUUUACACUGGCUAACAGUUUUACUUACGUCAGUCAUUGCCGUCUUACCUAGAUUUGUGGUUCGGGCUUUAAAGUGGUCUUUAAAUCCCAAUGAAAUCAUGCAAACAAUGAUAGAAACAAGAGGAAUGAGGAAACAAGACUUUGUGGUUUCAUGGUCAAGAUCAACUUCUUCUUCAUCUGUGUACAGGCGCCGAGAACCUGGCCCCUAACUGUUCUGUAAACUGCUUAGACACUGUAAUUUUCCUCUUUUCCAUAAUUUUUUUAAGAUAUAAUUUUUAAUUUUCAUCAGUUGUCAAAUCAGUGCUUUUAAAAUAAAAAGUGUAAUUUUUGCGAUAGUAAUAACAGAAUUACAGUGUCUUAAGCAUACUCGCUGAGCUUUCUCCUGGCACGGAUCUAAGAAAACAGAAAUAAUUAUGAAGCUGGUGAUGAAGCUUCUGAACCAUUGAGCUCUAUGGUAACAACAACUACUGUUGUCACAACUACAGAUGAAGCUGAAGUGUGAGUGGUUGUGCAUUGUGAAAAAGGACACAAAAUGGAAAAAGUGAAAGCAUCUGCUCUUUGCAGUUGCUGUAUUUGACAGACUUUCCCUGGUUGCUGUUAAAUUCCAAAUUUUCCUUGAAUAUUCAGCAUGUUUGCAAGGGCUUACCUCAGGUAUAAUACUAGUAUGUUUUGCCUGACAAUGGAAAGAAAAUUGCUGUUGUCCAUUGUUAAAAAUGAUUGAAGCACCUCGUUAAUGACAAUCAUCCAUUCAUUUUUCUUAUGUACCCUAAAAUAUUUGGUGAUAUUGAGAGUUUAAGAAUUUGUAACCCCAACUGUAUUAACUUGGUGAAGCACCUCAGGAAUUUAGCAAUACUGCAGUUAUUUUUCUGUUAGGUAGGUUCUAAUGUAUGUAUGUCAUUUAUUGGCUAACUGCUCAGUGCUUACCAUAGGUCAUUCACCUAUAGCAUGUAAAUUUGUUGAGAUAGCGAAUUUGCGCUCAAAUAGCAAAUGAACACAUCGUACCGUCUUCAGUUCUUGUGCUUUCUUAUUAGAAUUAAGAUUAACUGCUGUGAGAUCUUUCAUGACAUUAGGAUUUGGGGAAAGGAAAAUUUUCACAAUGUAUGUGAUAUGCGGUAGAGUAUAUAUUCCAUUGUUUGGGUUAGCAGUGAUGAAAGUUUUUCUCACUCAUAAUCCUGUUAGGAAACCAAAAUGUUUGCCACUAAUUUAUAUGGUAGCUGCUUAUUUUGUAGCUCUGAUAUUGGAAGUGAAUUACUGUAGAGGGCAAAGAGGAUACUUCCAGAAGUCCAAAGCCAAAAAUAAACUUAUUAACUGUUAUGAAAUGCAAACCUGCAUGUUUUAUGUUGAUUAUUAUAGAGAUAGGCUAAUAUAAAUGUGCCUUGACUGUUUUGUGCUUCCAGACAUGUAAUUAAAUUGGAAAGUUGAGUAAAUAAGUUAUGUUUGGGCACAUUUUUCUUCAGUGAAAUUUAGUCUGUUUCAGUUACUGAGGUUGGUUUAAUUUCAUUACCAUUUUAAGAAUAUACUUUUAAUUUUUUAGAACCCUAUAUUUUUUAUUAUAAAUUCUGAUGGGUCUUGUUUUUAAAUUGUUUCACUUGAGAAAGUUUUUAGUUUAUGGAAUUUGCAAAUAUAUUUAAAAUUAGGUUGAUUUGCCAAUUCCAUUAUCACACUUUUCCUUUUAACAAACAAAGAGGCAGUAUUUAGUACGUUGCUGAUGAGUUGACUGACAGUAGAAAAAGUUGGAAGUUAUUAAAGUUUCUGUCUAAACUUGUAGAUUUUUUAAAGCUGAACUGUGCUAAUUAGGUUUUCAAGUAAAUUGGCAAUGUACUUAGGUGUCAUUUUGUCACUCAUGAGAAGCAGCAAGGCAUUUCUAAGAGCAUUGAGUGUUCUAUCAAAGAUAUUGAUAUUCAUGAUAAACAGCCCAUUAAACAGCCUUUUUAUUCAGGAAUUUUACAGCAGUAUUUUUUUAAAAUUAAUUUUGAAUAUCUUCAUUGUGGAAACCUUUGGUACAUGAGCUGAGCCAGUAAAAUCUUCUCUGUUGAGUGAUAGGUCUUAAUUUUUGUUUACUUAGCAAGAACAUUACAUUAAUUUUUCCCCUUGUACUUCAUACUCUCAUUUUUUAAAUAAUCUUGCAUGGUUUUUUUGAAUAUAUGUACUGUACAUGCAAUUUUUUUAAGAGUUCUGCAAUCUAACUUGUGAAGUCUUAAAGAAACAUAACUUUUGAUGCAUCAUAGAAUGUUAAUUGUAUAUCUUGAAUUUAUGAAUUUAAACGGAAAACUAGUCCCUCAACCUUUUAAUGUAUUUUGCUAUUCUUGUAUUCCAAGUAGGCAGAAUUUGUGCCAUUAAAUAUCAUGUGAUUAGUACUUUAACUACAUCUUCCAUAAAUGGCAAAUGUUUGUGAAGGAAGAAAGUUUCAGUGGCCAUAUACUACAUCUACAAGAAAAAUUGUCUAAAUAUGCUCAUAUGCAGGUGCUUCAUUUGCUCUUGCAAUCUGUCAGGAUUCACACUGCCAACAGUUGAUGUUCUUGAGGGUUUCUACUGCUGGAAGAUGCCCCCACCUAAAUACAACAGGUUUAUCAAGUACAUACGUGUAAACAGUUAAAUAAGGGACCAACUUCAAUGAGGGAGAAAGCAGAACACUAUCAAGUUGUAAGAGAAAAUAAUAGCAGUUUGAAAAUAUUUUUAUGAACUGAACAUACAAAUAACCAAAGUUACCCUUCAACUGUUUCUUAGUUUUUACUACAGUUAAGUGCUAUUAGUAUUGCUAAUCCUAUUUUUGACGUAGCUGAAAUGAGUUAUUGAAUAACCUCAUGCAUGUAUUAAGUUUUAUGCCAUGGGGCUUGUAUGAUAAUUGCUCCUUCCACUCCAAGAGAAAGCAGUGACAUGACACCUGUUUAUUACUUUUCAAGCAUCUGCAUACUUGAAACCCCUCUCAAAAUUUUCAAAAAGCUCAUAAUUAUCUUCUCUAGGGCAUUAGAAAAUUUCAUUGUGCCAAAGUAGUUGGUAAUACAGUAUUGAUAAUAAGUUGAUUUAUAUUUCUAUCAUAUGAGAUUAUAGUUCUUCUGCUUUAUUUGAUCAGUCUUACAAUCUUGUGAAGAACCUGAGUACAGAACUGGUCUAGUGGGUGAAAGUAUUUUAUACUGUGUGUAUAUUUUUGCCAAGAUUUCUAGAAUUCUUCAGUUUAUUGAAAAACCUUAUCCUUAACAUUUUUUCAAACAAAAUUAAUUUGAAAUUUGUUGCUCUUAGCGUUGUAAGGUUGUAAAACCAGAUCACUGGCUAAUCUACUAAUAUUCUCAGUGAAACAAUUUUAUUUCUGAUGUUUUUAUGGCCCAUUUGCUUUAAGCCUUUAAGAACUUUUAUCCUGCCAUUUGGUUGUAAUUAUUUUUAAUGUAAUUUGUUGUGAUCAGACACAAGGGAGUUUUAGAAGACCUAUAAAUUGUACAUAGUAUUUUCUGUAAAAAGCAAAGUAUUGUUUUAAUGUUUUUAAUUGUUUAUCAUGCCAUUUUUGUGUAACUUGCUGGUAUUUUUAUCAUCUUGUGAUUUUUCACUGUAAACAUUUUACUUAUAUUAAUACUACUAUGCUUUUAAAAUUGUACAUACAUUAUAUAUAAAACAUUCCUAUACAAAUUCACGUAAUUAAUUAAUUAAAGUGCUUUUACCACAAGUAAAUAGAGAAAACAUGCCAUUCAAAAGUAAUGUCAGGUUCCUUGAAGCAGUGUGGUUACAGUUUCUUCAUUUCCACUUCAAAACACAUUCCAUAUUGGAGGAUUGCUGACAACAGCUAGUAGUUGAGGUAUCAGUACCAUUUUGAAAUGUUCAGAUCCUGAAAGUUCAUGCUAUGGGUGACAAUGCCUAGGGUGCUUUGUGCUGUUCAUUUAAAAAUAGAAGAGUUUUACAGUUCUUUGGCUGCACCUAUGUUGCCAUGUCUUCAACUUUGUCUUUUCCCUUAACUCACUUUGUACUUGCUUACAUGUCCAGCUUUCACGGCUCAUUGAAAAGUGAGUUAGUAUAAUUUGACUUGUCAGGUUACGCUUAACAAACUAAUGAUUUUGCUGGACAGUGAUGUUUUUCCAAAUAUUACAGUUUUGUAAGUAAGUUAUUGGAUGAAGCUGCUACCUUGCAUGUCAGGGGAUAGAGCAAUUUAUUCUGCUGUCAUAGCUUGUAACUUAUCUUUCCUUGUAAAUAUUCCAUCUUUUCAGUUUUUAUUAUUGAGAGCAGGUAUAGGACAAGGAUAACUUAGAAACAUUACAAACAAUGUGCACACAUUUAACACAAUUUUUCAUGUAUAAUCAAUGUGCACACAUUUAACAAUUUUUCAUGUCUUAAGAGUUUGUUAUACUUUGUUUGAAAGUGAAUAGCACUGGUACCCCAGUGGGAAUUUGACAUUUUUACAAUGGUGUAUUUUCUCUUAACUUUUGCAAGGUAAAAGCUCUUGUAAAACUAUUUAGAAAUUGAAACUAAAUUCUUAGAUUUCGUUCUAUAACUGAAGUAAACCAUUCUGUAGUGCCUUUGCAUUAACAAAGUUUUUUAUUCUAGUCAGUUUUCAGUUGUUCUUAAGUUAUCGGCAAGAUAUUUAUUGUGAUUUAUAGAAAUACUGGAUUGCAGAACACUAGGUGUGCAUACUAGUUAUGCAGUGGAAAGAGUCUUGAUUCCAUUCUCUCGCAUGAUUUCUGUAUGUCUUAAACUAAAUCUUUUUAUAACCUUCACAUUCCUUUAAACAAAUAACUUACAGGCUACUGGAGAUUGGGGCAGUGUUAAAUGAUUAAUGUAAAAUAUUCAUAUAUAUAUAUAUAUAUACAUAUAUUUUUGUGAGAAUUGUAUGUAUUGUACUUAUAAUUUAUUGUCAUAUAAUUUUCCUAUUUUGUUAAGUGUUGACAGUGUACAGCUUUUACCAAUUAAAUUACUAGGAUAGUUACCUUUGUUGCUGAACUUUCUUUGGUAACAUUUUCUGUAAAAAAUACUAUGUAAUCAGUGAAUGCUGUUAAUAGUGUCUGGUAUUCAUAUGAGAAAAGGGUACAUAUUUUGUCAUAAAGUCCAAGUGGAAAACAGCUGCACAAGUUUGGGAAUUAUGUUUUGUUUAAACAAGCCAAAAUAAAUAUUUUUAUUGUA